GCGUAGUUGGUUUAGUGGUAAAAUCCAUCUUUGCCAUCGAUGGGCCCCGUGUUCGAUUCACGGACGACGCA
rnacentral:tRNA from 1 species